CAGUCGCCACGGUAAGACAGAGGAUGCAAGCGUUAAUCGGAUUUACUGGGCGUAAAGGGCAUGCAGGCGGUCGUGCAAGCCCGGCGUGAAAGGUGGGGGCUCAACUCCCAAACUGCGCUGGGAACUGCAAGGCUUGAGUUUCUGAAGGGCAGCCGGAAUUCCACGUGUAGGGGUGAAAUCUGUAGAUAUGUGGAAGAACACCAAUGGCGAAGGCAGGCUACCGGCAGAAGACUGACGCUGAGGUGCGAAGGUGCGGGGAGCAAACAGGAUUAGAUACCCCAGUAGUCCCUGUCUCUUAUAC
rnacentral:rRNA from 1 species